CAGUAGCCGCGGGAAUACGGAGGGUGCAAGCGUUAAUCGGAUUUACUGGGCGUAAAGGGCGCGUAGGUGGUUAUUUAAGUGAGAUGUGAAAUCCCCGGGCUUAACCUGGGAACUGCAUCUUAUACUGGGUAACUGGAGUGCAGUAGAGGGUAGUGGAAUUUCCGGUGUAGCGGUGAAAUGCGUAGAUAUCGGAAGGAACACCAGUGGCGAAGGCGGCUACCUGGACUGAGACUGACACUGAGGCGCGAGAGCGUGGGGAGCAAACAGGAUUAGAUACCCCCGUAGUCCCUGUCUCUUAUAC
rnacentral:rRNA from 1 species